rnacentral:rRNA from 1 species
AGCAGCCGCGGUAAUUCCAGCUCCAAUAGCGUAUAUUAAAGUUGUUGCAGUUAAAAAGCUCGUAGUUGAAUUUCGGGGUCAGUGAGUUGGUCGUGCCACUGGUAUGCACUGGCUUUACUGAUUCCUCCUUCUUGAAGAACUGUAAUGCUAUUAAUUUAGUGUUGCAGGGAAACAGGACUGUUACUUUAGAAAAAUUAGAGUGUUUAAAGCAGGCUAACGCUUGAAUACAUUAGCAUGGAAUAAUGAAAUAGGACGUUUGAUCCUAUUUUGUUGGUUUCUAGGAUUGACGUAAUGAUUAAUAGGGAUAGUUGGGGGCAUUAGUAUUCAAUUGUCAGAGGUGAAAUUCUUGGAUUUAUUGAAGACUGACUACUGCGAAAGCAUUUGCCAAGGAUGUUUUCAUUAAUCAAGAACGAAAGUUAGGGGAUCGAAGACGAUCAGAUACCGUCGUAG